rnacentral:miRNA from 1 species
AGGCAGUGUCGUUAGCUGAUUGG